AUGACGUCGAUGCUCGCAACCAUGGGCAAGACCGAAUUCAUCGUCGGGGGCAAAUACAGGCUCAUGAGGAAAAUCGGAUCUGGAUCCUUUGGAGAUAUUUAUCUGGGCAUCAACAUCUCCAAUGGAGAGGAGGUUGCGAUUAAGCUCGAAAACAUUCGAGCUCGUCAUCCACAACUUCUCUAUGAAUCGAAAUUGUACAAAAUUCUUCAUGGAGGUAUUGGAAUACCUCACAUUCGCUGGUAUGGACAAGAACGCGAAUACAAUGUUCUCGUAAUGGAUCUCUUGGGCCCGUCCUUAGAGGACUUGUUUACAUUCUGUUCUCGGAGAUUCACGAUAAAGACUGUCCUGAUGCUUGCUGACCAAAUGAUCGGAAGGAUUGAGUACGUCCAUUGCAAGCAUUUCAUUCACAGAGACAUCAAGCCAGACAACUUUUUGAUGGGGAUUGGGCGCCACUGCAAUAAGCUCUUCUUGAUUGAUUUUGGACUGGCUAAGAAGUACAGGGACAGUCGCACAAGAUCGCACAUCGUCUACAGAGAAGAUAAAAAUCUGACUGGAACUGCGAGGUAUGCUUCCAUCAAUGCCCAUCUUGGAAUUGAACAGAGUCGCCGAGACGACAUGGAGUCCUUGGGAUAUGUACUUAUGUACUUCAAUCGGGGAUCUCUUCCGUGGCAAGGACUUAAGGCCGCUACCAAGAAGCAGAAGUACGAAAAAAUUAGUGAGAAGAAAAUGUCCACACCAGUUGAGGUUUUAUGCAAGGGCUUCCCAGCUGAGUUCGCGAUGUACCUGAACUAUACUCGAGGUCUGCGUUUCGAGGAAAGUCCAGAUUAUAUGUACCUUCGUCAGUUGUUCCGAAUUCUGUUCCGUACGCUGAACCACCAAUACGACUACACGUUUGACUGGACGAUGCUGAAGCAAAAGGCGGCAGUAGCCAGUAUGAACGGCGGAGCAUCGGCCAGCGGACACGGCCAGGCUGGCCAAGGAACCGCUGGACAAGGUACAGUUCCAGGACAGCCGACUUCUCAAGCUGCCCCGCAGCCAGAUAGGUUCUAUCCUUUCAAGUGCAAUAUAACACUCGGUUAGAUGGAUAUAAAAUGUAAUUGUGACGAUCGAUGAUCGGUUGAUGUCUCAAAAUCGCUCUUGUGAAACACGAGCACGCUAAAUCUCUUAACAAUGUGUGAUAGCACGAAACUUGAACGCAUUCGCUUAAGUGUCUCACACACUAUUCAUAACCGCCACCAUCGCCAUCCGAAGGGUCAAAUCAAGCGACUCUCUAAGUCUGGAGCAAACGAUUUUAAACGUGUCGAAUAGAAAAAUAAGUCAAACAAACACCGAGUUCCAAAUGCUUAGAGAGUCUCGGUUGAUGCAACUUUUCGAGUCGAAAGCCAAGCAAAGUCAGAGGCUGACUUUCAUUAUUAAUCGUCAUUAUUCUCCAUCAUCGAUUAUCACUGAAGUAAAUAAAGUCGUCCGGAGUCCAGUUGGCGAGUGAUUGAACCUUCAAUUAUACACACACUUUUCAUAGAAAGAGAGACAUUGCAGUGUUCUUAAAAGUGUGACUGACUGAACGUGAAAUAACAUUUUUGUAUUUACUCUCUCUCUCUCUCUCUUUCUCGAUCCCAAGUGUGCUUGUGUGAGUGGUCAAAAGACCUGCAAAUCUUUCGACCAGUUGUUGAAAAAUUUAUUCAAAUUUCAGUUAUCUCGAUCCUAGUUGAUAAGAUUAGGCUAGUCUAUUUCUGUUCGUUCUUUUGUUAAUGACGAUUAUAAUAUGACAUUGUGGAGCACUCGAGACGAAUUUACCUUACAAAUUAAUUUUAAAAACAACUUACAAAAUAAUAAAAAAGAAUUUUACAAAAUAACUAAACAACAUAGAAAUUAUUGAUGAAAAGGAAAGGAGAAAAUCAUUGUACCUAGACUCUCUUUCUCUCUGUGUCGGAUUUUUGUUCUGUAAAAAGAUGUCCAUUUCUGUACAGAAAAGAAUCGGACAUUUUUGGAUUCAACGACUCCAUUUUGUGAAUUAAUUGUGAUCGAGAGAUUUAUCGCAGGAUCGAAGGAAGCGUCGAUAUUGGAUGAUCGUUCGAUUGUUUAAUUUGUAAUAGUUUUGGAGAUUGAUAAUUUGCAAAAUCAGAGUCCUUGACUCCCAGGAUUUAUUCGAUUCGAGAAAUUAUCGGAGGAACUCAAAAUUUCUCAAAUACUCUCGGUUUCCUCGACUGACUUUCGGAGAAACACAGAGACAAUAUGGACUUUGUUUCUGUGGCGAUAAGGUAAUCGCAUCGCCGAAAUAAUGAAAAACAAACACAGAAUGAUUUAAUGUCUGCAGUUGUCGACUGCAAAUGAAAACCGUGAUAUGUCAUAUGCUGCCGGCUGCCGAUAUAGCAUUAAAAAACCUUCAUAUUUUAUACACACUGCGUAUGUACUUUUAGUUUCGUUUCUAGAUUUUAAGAUUUUCAUAAUAAGUAUAUAUAUAUAUAAUCCACGAAUGUUUAUGUUUCGUUUAAUAUACUUAUUAAAUUACAGUAGUUUCUUUAUCGCAGAUUUCAUUCGUCAUGGCACACGUCCGGUGGGGUUAUUCUCUAUUAUCCAGGGUAAUUAACCCUACAAAUUAUUAAAGAAAGAGUAAAUAGGAAGAGCGCUUAGCUAAAGCGAAUCCAAAGUCGAAUGUCGACAUUAACAUGCUUUAUGAUAUCUCGUUAUGGAAAAGUGAAAAAGGAGAAACCUUAUAUAGUUUUUUGUUGGUUGGUUGGUUUUUUUUUUUUUUUUUUUUUUUUUUUUUUUUUUUUUUGUAAGUACGAGGGCAGUCUUGGUUGAGACUCGUAACCAUACAAAGGAGACGAAUGUUAAAUAAUGAUGCAGAAAAAGUAAAAAAAUAAUGAAACUAUUUCUAAACCUGUAAAAUGAUAAUAUGAUAAAACGAGUUAAUUGAGUGAGUGAAUGAGAGUAAUUAAUACUAAUCGGGUGCGAACGAGUCGGAUUGUUGGACAAACGAAUAACUGAGUGAGUAAAUGUUUGUCUGAUUGCAGCGUGUGUGCAUAUGAGAGAAUAAGUUAAUUAUUAAUUAAUUAAUAUACAUGCACAUGAUACUAUUCAAUAUAUAUUAUAUUACUAUAAAGAAUGUGACAGCAAUUAAGAUAUGCGUUAUUUCAUAAAUACUGAAAACUAUUGCUCCCUUUGUCUCUAUAAAUAAAGUCUCAACACUGUAA